GAGCUGUAGCCGUGGCCUCGCGCGUGUGGGGCUGGGGCCGAGAGCGGCCCACAGGAGCCUGCUCCGGGAGCGGGGAGCGGCACGGGGUGGCGCCGGGAGAGAGCCCGCCCCAGCCGGGCGGCAAAAGAGCAGCUCAAGGUAGGGGCGUUGUGGGAGCAGCGACUUGCGUGUGUGCUAAGGGCGUUUCUCCUGUGCCUGCAGGUCUGGGAGCAGCCCGGUUCCCGCGGCCCCGGGAUGGCUGCUGGGCUGCCUCCCGAUGCGCUGGGCCGUCGGGUCGCCUGUGGCACCGACUACGGGACUGUGCGCUAUGUGGGCAGCGUGUCUCCUACUGCAGGAAUUUGGCUGGGCGUGGAAUGGGAUGAUCCUCAAAGGGGAAAGCAUGAUGGCAGCUAUGAAGGAACACAGUAUUUUAAGUGCAGGCAUCCUAAAGGAGGAUCAUUCAUCCGGCCAAACAAGGCAAAUUUUGGAGUAGAUUUUCUUACUGCAGUAAAGGAUCGGUACGGAUUGAAUGAUGAGCAGGAUGGUCAGUGUGGAACAGGGAAUACUGUAGUAAUUGGAACGAAGACUGUGGAAUUUGUUGGCAUGGAUUCUGUUGCAGAACAGCAAAGACAACUGAACAAACUGGUGGAUAUCUCAGUGCGUGAGUGUGCAGUGAGCCAUGCUGGUCAGGAAGAGGAAAUCAGCAGAACAUGUGCCAAUAUGAGGCAUAUAAACCUAUCAAAAAAUCUGAUAUCAUCUUGGGAGACAGUAGUAGCUAUUGCUUCUCAAGUUCAAAAUCUGGAAACACUUAAUGUCAGUGAAAACAAAAUGAGAUUUCCAUCUACAUCAACUUUUACAUCCAGUGCAUUUUCAAACUUGAAGAUUCUGGCCCUUAAUCAAACUGAAAUAACAUGGACAGAGGUUCUUCUUUGUGCUCAAGGAUGGCCAGUACUUGAAGAGUUGUACCUUUCUUCUAAUAAUAUUACAGUUUUGGAAAGGCCUGAUAAUGUCCUGCAGACCCUGAAGUUGUUAGACUUUUCAGACAACCAGCUACUGGAUGGAAAUCAGCUGCAUCUCAUAGCACAGCUCCCCAGAUUAGAACAGCUAAUACUUAGAAACACUGGGAUAUCUUCUAUACACUUUCCUGAUGCUGGAUUUGGAUGCAAAACUAAAAUGUUUCCUUCACUAAAACGCCUUGCAAUAAAUGACAAUAAAAUAUCACAGUGGUCAUCUAUCAAUGAGCUUGAUAAACUGCCAAGUUUGCGGGCGCUGCAGUGUAACAAUAACCCCUUCAUGGACACAGAGAAGAACCCAGAGACCCUGAAACAGCUCAUUAUUGCCAAGAUAAGCAAAUUGGAGGUUUUGAACAACUGUGAGAUCCUUCCUGCUGAAAGGAGAGGAGCAGAGCUUGAUUAUCGCAAAAUAUUUGGAAAGGACUGGCUAGAAGCUGGUGGGCAUUGGAACCCAGAGAAAAACAAACCAAGUGAAGAAUUUCUUGCUGCCCAUCCCAGAUACCCAGCACUUUGUCUUAAAUAUGGAGCACCUGAAGAAGGAGAACUAAAGGGACAACAGCCUUUGACUCUGAAAAAUCAGCUCCUGACUUUGACUAUUAAGUGUCCUGAGAAACCUGAACAGAAGCCAGUGGAGAAAAAACUACCAGAGUCUAUGACUAUUCAGAAGGUCAAAGGACUGCUGUAUCGCCUGUUUAAAAUUCCUGGUUCAGACCUGAAACUGUCCUACGAAAGUUCUAAAUUGGAAGGAAAAGAAGUUGAACUAGACAAUGACUUAAAGCCUUUGCAGUUUUACUCAAUAGAAAGUGGAGACUGUGUGUUAGUACGGUGGUAAGAAGAGACUCACUUGCUGGACGGUGGUAAGAAGAGACUCACUUGCUGGACUGAAGGAAAAGCUGACACAAGAACUGCAGAAGACAGACACACAAACAGCCUGUGCCUGAACAGACAUACAGCUGCCAUCCAGAUGCCCAUGCUCACAUCUUCACCCUGAGAUGAAAAUAAGAAAUACAGAUAGGAGCACCAAGAAAGCAUAAAGCAUGACUGUGACCUGGAAUGAGCUGCAUCAUCUACCAGCAGUAAAGAAUGGUAACUAGAAAAACCUACACCAGACUACUGCAGAGGUGUUAAAAUAAUCCUCCCACCUUUCCCAUGACAAUACCCUGUUCUUACAAAAACAGAGUACAAAAAACAAGAUUACAGCUCCAGAGGUUCUCAGAGGUGCUUUGACCUAGAACAGGCACUAAGCAUAGCGACCAAAAACAAGGCAAAAGCCCACAGAGCCAGGAGAACCCAACACUAACAUUUGAGCAAUGUUUUUUCUGACUCACUCGGUAUGAGCUGUUCCCCAGACCACUUUUAACACAGAUAAACUGAACAAAUCUUUA